rnacentral:rRNA from 1 species
UACAGAGGUCUCAAGCGUUGUUCGGAUUCAUUGGGCGUAAAGGGUGCGUAGGUGGCGCUGUAAGUCGGGUGUGAAAUUUCGGAGCUUAACUCCGAAACUGCAUUGAUACUGCGGUGCUUGAGGACUGGAGAGGAGACUGGAAUUACGGUGUAGCAGUGAAAUGCGUAGAGAUCGAUGAGGAAGACCAGUGGCGAAGGCGGGUCUCUGGACAGUUCCUGACGCUGAGGCACGAAGGCCAGGGGAGCAAACGGG